rnacentral:rRNA from 1 species
GACAGAGGGUGCAAGCGUUGUUCGGAAUUACUGGGCGUAAAGGGCUCGUAGGCGGCCAACUAAGUCGGACGUGAAAUCCCUCAGCUUAACUGGGGAACUGCGUCCGAUACUGGAUGGCUUGGAUUCGGGAGAGGGAUGCGGAAUUCCAGGUGUAGCGGUGAAAUGCGUAGAUAUCUGGAGGAACACCGGUGGCGAAGGCGGCAUCCUGGACCGAGAUUGACGCUGAGGCGCGAAAGCCAGGGGAGCAAACGGG